CUGGGAAUGACCCGGGAGGCAGCAUGAAGGCCUGGACUAGGAAAGUGUAGGGAGGCAGGGGCGGAGCUGAUUAAGGAAUUAUUUAGGAGGUAGAAUUCAAGGGACUCAGUGGUUGUUUUUUUAGCAUAGAGAUUUCUGGUGUGCAAUAUGAUGCUUUGAUCUAUAUCUACAUAGUGAAAUGAUUACUACAGUCAUGCAAAUUAGCAUAUCCAUCACCUACCAUCCUUAGCUUUUUAUGUUGUUGUAAGAGACCCUAAAAUCUACUCUCUGAGCAGAUUUUCAGUAUAGCAUCCAAUAACACUAACUGUAGUCCUCAUGCUGCUCAUUGGCUCUCCAGAGCUAUUAAUCCUGCAUAACGGCAAGUUUGCCUCCUUUGACCUACCCCUCCCCAUUUCCUCUCCUAGUAAGCUCGGUGGCUGUUUUGAACUGAGAUAGUCUUGCUGUUCCUUUUACAUCCUUGCAUCCACUCCCUUUCUAUUAUAUAUUUCUUUCCUGUUUGAAUGUGGGGACACACUGGCUACUGCAAAUGUUGAAUUGGCUCUUGUUUUCUGGUGCAUUCUUGCUGGCCACAGAAGAUGCUGAUCUAGGCUGAUACCUGGCAAACCCUACCUUGUCCUGCCCCUGACACUGCAGAUCUGAGGACGCGCUGGGGGAGCCGAGCAUCCAGGUCAGUGAGUGGAGGGAAUUUUUGUCCAACGUG
rnacentral:lncRNA from 10 species